GAUGAACGCUGGCGGCGUGCCUAAUACAUGCAAGUCGAGCGAACAGAUGAGGAGCUUGCUCCUCUGACGUUAGCGGGGGAGGGGUGAGUAACACGUGGAUAACCUACCUAUAAGACUGGGAUAACUUCGGGAAACCGGAGCUAAUACCGGAUAAUAUAUUGAACCGCAUGGUUCAAUAGUGAAAGACGGUUUUGCUGUCACUUGUAGAUGGAGCGGCGCCGCAUUAGCUAGUUGGUAAGGUAACGGCUUACCAAGGCAACGAUGUGUAGCCGACCUGAGAGGGUGAUCGGCCACACUGGAACUGAGAUACGGUCCAGACUCCUACGGGAGGCAGCAGUAGGGAAUAUUCCGCAAUGGGCGAAAGCCUGACGGAGCAAUGCCGCGUGAGUGAUGAAGGCCUUCGGAUCGUAAAACUCUUUUAUUAGGGAAGAACAAAUGUGUAAGUAACUCUGCACGUAUUGACGUUACCUAAUCAGAAAGCCCCGGCUAACUACGUG
rnacentral:rRNA from 1 species